rnacentral:rRNA from 1 species
GACGAACGCUGGCGGCGUGCUUAACACAUGCAAGUCGAACGGAAAGGCCCUGCUUUUGCGGGGUGCUCGAGUGGCGAACGGGUGAGUAACACGUGUGUAACCUGCCCUUGACUUUCUGAGAACUUUAGGGAACUGGGGCUAAUACCGGAUAGGAGCUCCUGCUGCAUGGGGGGGGUUGGAAAGUUUCGGCGGUUGGGGAUGGACUCGCGGCUUAUCGGCUUGUUGGGGGGGUAGGGGCAUACCAAGGCUUUGACGGGUAGCCGGCCUGAGAGGGUGACCGGCCACAUUAGGACUGGGAUACGGCCCAGACUGGUACGGGACGCAGCGGUGGAGAAGAUUACACAAUGGGCGGAAGCCUGAUGCGACAGCGCCGCGUGCGGGAUGACGGCCUUCGGGUUGUAAACCAAUGUCGCCUGAGACGAGGAGUGAGUGACGGUAAUGGGUAAAGAAGCACCGGCUAACUACGUG